rnacentral:snoRNA from 1 species
ACGACCUUACUUGAACAUGAUCUGUUCUAUAGGCUCGUACCACUAUAUCCUUGAGUUCUAAGGAGACAGGAAACUAAAUCUGGUAGAUGAACCAUGUCCCUUAGACCAGAGCGUGAUUAACGGCGCCAUGGCCUUCAUGGCACCGUAGAGGAUCGUUCUCAACUCCAACUGUAGUGUGGUGGGAUGGUCUGAUGGCUGUCUGACAGAAU